CCCUGUGCAAACAGUGCCCUCUCCUGCGCAGCAGUUGCCAAAGCCUCACGCAUCAGCUCACGGCACGGCCCACCCUGCCUCUAGUGUCCACAAACAGUGUAUCAAGUACAUGUCCAGCCCCAUUACCGCAGUUCUGUACCCCAUGUCAGCACCUCGCCCAAUGCCAGAAGAUGGAGUUAGCAGCUUGUCAAGAGUGAAGAGGAGCUGGGAGGUCCCUGGAGAUGCCUCCUCUGACAGCACAAAGGGUUUCUGAAGACUCCAGCUGGAGGACAGGAUGGGCUGGUCUCCUGGGACCCACAGCAACCCACAGAGCUGGGAGAGGCAUGAGACCCUGCUAACAGAUAAGGAAGUCCAAGACAGAAAAGAGAGGCCACUUGUUUAAGUCUCAUACCAAAGAAAAAGCUUCUCCUACAAAUCGUAUGACUCCAAAGUUGGAUUUUGUCAGGGUUGGUGUACCCACCUGGAGAAUAACAGAA
rnacentral:lncRNA from 1 species